AAAGCUGGGGCUCCGACGCCGUGCCAGGGGCUGUAGCUCAUAUUGCUCUGAGCAGGACCCGGGCAUCCCUCCCACUGACCCUGGUCGUGGGCGGCCUGCCUUCUCCCCACCAGGGUCCCCAGUACCAGCAUCCCAUGGCAGGUGGGCACAGGGCCAGAGGAUCUGCCCACAGUUCUUCUCUGGCCCGAAGAAACAGCAGAGAGAUUGGAAGAAGAAGCUGGCAAAGCCACAACUGACGCAUUUGACCAUCAUGAGGAUGAUGCCCAGCUUGCGAUAGAGCAGCACUGUGGCAGGCAGCAUGAGCACGCCUGCCGCAAACAGGGCUGCAGCCCCCACGGCUGUGGCGCAGCUGGUCUGGCGCAGAGAGAAGGCCAGCGCCAAAGCCAGGCCCAGCACCACAGCAGGCUCAGUGCUCAGGCUGUGCUGCAGGCUAUACAGCUCUAGACGGCUAGUGAACCAACCACGGCGGAGGCCUGGAGGUG
ensembl:lncRNA novel transcript, antisense to DISP2